UAUGCUAGAGAUAUAUUGUCAGAAAAAAAAUGAUGAAUAGCGCUUUCACUGGGCAUUAUUGAAAAUUGCCCAGAGGAGUCACCAAAAAUGACCCUCAACCAUCUAUUCCACUGUUUUAAUGUUUAUAUUUUACAUGGCAGUGCAAGGAAAAGACUCUGGUAGCUUCACCGACUAAGAAAUUAAACUGUGAAAAGGAUCCCACUGAAUAUAUGGAUCAGCCACUGAAGCAGACCAUAGUAGUCCCCAAAGAGAUAAACACCUUAUACCACAAGCAAGAUUCAGGGAACAUAUCGUAUUGAUGUCAAAUCAGAGUGUUAUUGGCAAGCACAAAAUAGUAGCAUGUGUACCAUACCAAGAUUAUCAUGAAAGAUGGGACCACAAGAAUUCCUGGGACCAGAUGGAAAGAACUGUGUCAGCUGAGUUAACUGAGAACACAAGGAAUCUGGGGAGAUCCAAAUAAAAACCUAACGAAAGGACAAUCAUGGGAACCUCAACGGAGCAUCAGAGAAUCACCUGGGAGGCUUGUCAAACAUGCAGAUUCGUUUACCACUUGCAAACCCUCCCAAAUCAGAAUAUCCAAGGUGGAUAUCCCAGAAACCAUAUUUUGUAAGAUCUCUGCAUGAUAUUCUCACUUACUCAAGUUUGGGAAGCACACAUUCUAACUUCAGAAAUAACGUGAACAGGUCACCUGAGUCCUGCCGGUCCUCAGUUUCCUUCUCUGUAAAUUGAGGAUAAUUAUAGUCACCUCAUAAGAUCACUGCGAAGAGUAAAUUAGAUAAAACCAAGGUGAGACAUAUGAAGCAUGGAAUGUUUAGUAC